UACGUAGGGGGCUAGCGUUGUUCGGAAUCACUGGGCGUAAAGGGUGCGUAGGCCGCACGGUAAGUCAGAGGUGAAAUCCCGGAGCUCAACUUCGGAAUUGCCUCCGAUACUGCCGUGCUUGAGGACUGGAGAGGAGUCUGGAAUUCACAGUGGAGCAGUGAAAUGCGUAGAUAUUGUGAGGAACACUAGUGGCGAAGGCGAGACUCUGGACAGUUCCUGACGCUGAGGCACGAAGGCCAGGGGAGCAAACGGG
rnacentral:rRNA from 1 species